AGAGUCUGAUCAUGGCUCAGAUUGAACGCUGGCGGCAGGCUUAACACAUGCAAGUCGAGCGGUAGCAGGCCUUCGGGUGCUGACGAGCGGCGGACGGGUGAGGAAUGCAUAGGAAUCUGCCUAUUAGUGGGGGAUAACACGGGGAAACUCGUGCUAAUACCGCAUACGUCCUACGGGAGAAAGCGGGGGAUCUUCGGACCUCGCGCUAAUAGAUGAGCCUAUGCCGGAUUAGCUAGUUGGUAGGGUAAAGGCCUACCAAGGCGACGAUCCGUAGCUGGUCUGAGAGGAUGAUCAGCCACACUGGGACUGAGACACGGCCCAGACUCCUACGGGAGGCAGCAGUGGGGAAUAUUGGACAAUGGGCGCAAGCCUGAUCCAGCCAUGCCGCGUGUGUGAAGAAGGCCUUCGGGUUGUAAAGCACUUUAAGUGGGGAGGAAGGUUAGUGGUUUAAUACGCUACUAAAUUGACGUUACCCACAGAAUAAGCACCGGCUAACUCUGUGCCAGCAGCCGCGGUAAUACAGAGGGUGCAAGCGUUAAUCGGAAUUACUGGGCGUAAAGCGCGCGUAGGUGGUUUUGUAAGUUGAAUGUGAAAUCCCCGGGCUUAACCUGGGAAUGGCAUCCAAAACUGCACGACUAGAGUAUGGGAGAGGGAGGUAGAAUUCCAGGUGUAGCGGUGAAAUGCGUAGAGAUCUGGAGGAAUACCGGUGGCGAAGGCGGCCUCCUGGCCUAAUACUGACACUGAGGUGCGAAAGCGUGGGUAGCAAACAGGAUUAGAUACCCUGGUAGUCCACGCCGUAAACGAUGAGAACUAGCCGUUGGUCUCCUUGAGAGGUUAGUGGCGCAGCUAACGCGAUAAGUUCUCCGCCUGGGGAGUACGGCCGCAAGGUUAAAACUCAAAUGAAUUGACGGGGGCCCGCACAAGCGGUGGAGCAUGUGGUUUAAUUCGACGCAACGCGAAGAACCUUACCUGGUCUUGACAUCCACGGAAUCCUGCAGAGAUGUGGGGGUGCCUUCGGGAACCGUGAGACAGGUGCUGCAUGGCUGUCGUCAGCUCGUGUUGUGAAAUGUUGGGUUAAGUCCCGUAACGAGCGCAACCCUUGUCCUUAGUUGCCAGCGAGUAAUGUCGGGAACUCUAAGGAGACUGCCGGUGACAAACCGGAGGAAGGUGGGGACGACGUCAAGUCAUCAUGGCCCUUACGACCAGGGCUACACGCGUGCUACAAUGGCCGGUACAGAGGGUUGCCAAGCCGCGAGGUGGAGCCAAUCCCGAAAAGCCGGUCGUAGUCCGGAUUGCAGUCUGCAACUCGACUGCAUGAAGUCGGAAUCGCUAGUAAUCGCAGAUCAGAAUGCUGCGGUGAAUACGUUCCCGGGCCUUGUACACACCGCCCGUCACACCAUGGGAGUGGGUUGCACCAGAAGUAGUUAGCUUAACCGCAAGGGGAGCGAUUACCACGGUGUGAUUCAUGACUGGGGUGAAGUCGUAACAAGGUA
rnacentral:rRNA from 1 species